UGUGAACGUGCUAAGAGAACUCUCUCGUCAACUGCUCAGACCACUAUUGAGAUUGAUUCGUUGUAUGAGGGUAUUGACUUCUACUCCACCAUCACUCGUGCCAGGUUCGAGGAACUUAACAUGGAUUUAUUCAGAAAAUGUAUGGAACCAGUUGAGAAGUGUUUGAGAGAUGCCAAGAUGGACAAGAGCUCUGUACAUGAUGUUGAGCCACCAACAAGCACAACAUCAUG
rnacentral:misc_RNA from 1 species